rnacentral:rRNA from 1 species
UACGAAGGGGGCUAGCGUUGCUCGGAAUCACUGGGCGUAAAGCGCACGUAGGCGGCUUACUAAGUCAGGGGUGAAAUCCUGGAGCUCAACUCCAGAACUGCCUUUGAUACUGGUGAGCUUGAGUUCGGGAGAGGUGAGUGGAACUGCGAGUGUAGAGGUGAAAUUCGUAGAUAUUCGCAAGAACACCAGUGGCGAAGGCGGCUCACUGGCCCGAUACUGACGCUGAGGCACGAAAGCGUGGGUAGCAAACAGG